GGUGCUACACGAGAAGUGUUGUAUGUGGUUUCCUUGGAAAGUGCCCAUAAGCAAUUAAUGCAUGAUUGAUCACUGUUUUUGAAAUUUUGUUUUAUUUGGUAAUAAUUCGAAUCAAAAUUAUGACAAUCAUUGCAAGGAAUAAUUAAAAAUAAUAUAUUGAUUGUUGUAUUCAAUUUCUUCCUAAAGAGGAAAAUAUGAUUUUUAAUUUGAUUCAAUCAAGACCUUU
rnacentral:lncRNA from 1 species